ACAGAAAUCAACUUGUUGACUCAAUAAACAUUUAUUGGAAAGAUGGAGAAUGAAAUACUGAAAUCCUCAGCACCCCCAGAAAUGACCACGCAACACAAUUCCAGCCAAUGAGAUGCGGGUGUGAAAAUGCUACGAAGAUGUUCCAUCCCCACUGAAGAGGAGGAGACCUGUAAGGGGAGGUGCAAAAAAUAAGGAGGGAUCCCAUGACAAGCUGCAAGAAGAGAAUCCUAAGAGGAAGGAGUGGCAAGUGCAAAAGGCCCGGGGAGAGAAAGCAAUCACUGGUUUGAGGAUCUACAAGGUGAUGAUGGAGGGGAGCAAGGAUGAGCGUGGCCAGGAGGCUCUCCCUUGAGAACCACAAGCUGUAACUAUAAGACCAACAACAUUUCAUUUUAUCUGGCGGAAGAAGAGCAGU